rnacentral:rRNA from 1 species
GACGAACGCUGGCGGCGUGCUUAACACAUGCAAGUCGAACGGAAAGGCCCCUUCGGGGGUACUCGAGUGGCGAACGGGUGAGUAACACGUGGGUGACCUGCCCUGCACUUCGGGAUAGGCCUGGGAAACUGGGUCUAAUACCGGAUAGGACCGCAUCGUGAGGAUGUGGUGGAAAGUUUUUUCGGUGCAGGAUGGGCCCGCGGCCUAUCAGCUUGUUGGGGGGGUAAUGGCCUACCAAGGCGGCGACGGGUAGCCGGCCUGAGAGGGUGGACGGCCACAUUGGGACUGAGACACGGCCCAGACUCCUACGGGAGGCAGCAGUGGGGAAUAUUGCACAAUGGGCGCAAGCCUGAUGCAGCGACGCCGCGUGGAGGAUGACACAUUUCGGUGCGUAAACUCCUUUUAUAUGAGAAGAUAAUGACGGUAUUAUAUGAAUAAGCACCGGCUAACUCCGUGCCAGCAGCCGCAGUAA